AGCUGGUGUUGAGAGGCGGAGACUUGGGCAAUUGCCAGCCAUUCCAGACGGCAUUGCACUUGUCUCGGUCUGACAGUACCGGCA
rfam:Salmo salar isolate Sally breed double haploid chromosome ssa05, whole genome shotgun sequence.